UUUCCCUUCCCCAUUGACUUUGUCCGUUUCCCUUCCCCAUUUCUAGCAGCGAGAUCUUGGAGGCAGAGAGGGGAGAGCCAUGGCGAUUUUGGCUGGUUAGCUUUGUCGUUGAUCUCUGGAGAGCGAGCCGGUGGUUAGGCGUCCGGUCCCCCCCCCCCAACCCCCCUGUUGCUUCUCCUUCAAGCGCGUUGAGGCAGAGGAGAAGUUGACGCAUGGUGAUUCGGCGGCGGUGUCUUAUCUGCUUCCAUUGAUUUCGUGAUGCUCCUCCUUUUGCUGUGGUGUUCUUCGAGCCUUGUGCCUCCCUUCUUCCCACAAGGAGGUUUGCUUGCCAGUAUCCUUUCACCAUGUCUUCAUUUCGCUGCAUUUUUGUAGGGUCCUGCUAGAUCUGGCUUAAAGGUGUGCUUGUUCCCGUGUGUAGUGGUGGAUCCUAGCUCUUUUAGGUUGUUUGUGGUGGUUCCUAGAUGUCUGAUUUUUGUUGCAGAUGGAGCAACAUCUAGUAGAUGUAGAUGCAGCAACACCUGAUUCAAUAUAGUUGUAGGGUUUGGUUCCCUUAUGCCUAUUUUUUAUUUAUGCUCCCGAAUGUUUCUGUAGUUGUUCAUGUGCCCCUAUAUGUGUACAACCCCUAGAUGUGUGGAUGUAAAUGUUGAUCUAGCUCGUAGAUGUUUCGACUGUAUGUGUGUACGAUGCCAGUUGUUUUUGUCAGUGAGUUGGGCUGUAACUUUGGGCGAAAUCGGAGUGAUUGGGACUGAAUUUUACCAGUUAAGCGUCAGUGAUUCUGGACUGUAGUUUCAGGUUUUAUCAGUCCAUCUUACUCUGUAAUUUUUUAGUGCUUUUGUGUCUGUCUUUGCAACUUCAGUGAUGUGUAAGUUUCAGUGAUCUACUCUGUAAUAUUUGAGUGCUUUUGUCUCUGGCUUUGUAACUUCAGUAAUGUGUAAGUUUGAGUGAUCUACUCUAAAUUUUCCACUUGUUUUCCAGCACCUAUUACACUCAAUAUCAGUGUAACUACAGUCUGAAUUGUAUUGUGAAUUAACUCUGGGCUGCAAGUUUGUAUGUCCCUUUUUAUCCUUUGCUAGCUUUUGUUGUACAUCCCUUCGUUGUCGUAGCUAGUGCGUUCUGCUAGCAAAUUUCAGCUCUGUUCUUUGUGUUUCUGUGAAACAGAAUGUCCUUUUCAUUUUCAGCUAUGUAAAUGUUUGAUUGCUCUAUCUGAAUUCUCUGUUUUCUUAGUGGAUUUAUAGUGUGUUUUCUGAGUGUUCUACACUGUAAUUCUUAGUGGAUUUACAGUGUAAUUUCUUAGCGGAUUUAAACUGUAAUUCCUUAGCGAAUUUACACUGUAAUUUUAGGUGGAUUUUUUUUACUAGAUUUACACUGUAAUUUUCAGUGAAUUUACACUGUAUUUUUAGUGGAUUUAUACUGUAAUUUGCAAUGGAUCUACACUGUAAUUCUUAGUGGAUUUACUCUGUAGUUUUCAGUUGAUCUUUCGUUGUAAUCCUAUAAGAAUUACACUGUAUCUCUUGAUUUUUACAGUGUAAUUCUUAGUGGAGUUACACUGUAAUCCUUAGUGUUUUUGUAGUGACUAUUAGUUAUUCUUGGAUUACCUUGUAUUUACACUGUAGCUCUUGAUUUUACGGUGUAAUUUUCAGUGUAUUUACACUGUAAUUCUUAGUGUAUUUUUGGCUAGAGUCUGUUAGCGGGUUUUUACCCUUGUAAUCUGCAUUUGACUAGGGACUAUUAUGUGGAUUAUUUUUGUAUUAUCUUUAGUAGAUCUUAUAGUGUAAUUCUUAUUGGAUUUACAGUGUAACUCUCAGUGGGCUUACACUGUAAUUUUUCAGUUGAUUCUCCCCUUAGUGAAUUUGACUAGGACUGUUAGUUGGUUUUUACCCUUGUACUCUGCAGUUGAGUAGGGUCUAUUAUGUGGAUUUUUAGGUCUGAACAUUUUUCAGGUAGCCAAUCUCUAUCUUGUUUGUAAUUUACUUUCAUGCAUUUGGUUGUUUCUUUAUUUUAUUUUUUUACCGUAAUGUCAUUUUGGUUUUGCUGUGUAGGUUGCAAGUCUCUUGCUCUUGACUCUACAAAGAAAGCAUCAAAUGAUUCGUCAGUUGGUAAAUCUGCCGGUAAUAUUUAGUCAAACGAGGGUACAAAGGCUGGUCCAAAUUUGGUUUCUUGUGUGUGCCAUGUAGUAUCAGUGCUUAACUUUUUUCUUUAGUUUCAGUGCGAUCUUCAUAGUAAUUACAUUUAAAAGAUCAUAGUAAUACUAAGUUCAAGUGACAGUAAUUUGCCCUUUUAUAAAGUUCCAAAGUUUCAAAUAUUCAAUCAUAGUGUCAUUUUGGUUUCUGAGCAGGAACAUAUUGGUUUCUCUAUAUAAUACACUGUAUUUUACACUGUAGUUCUAGUGGUCUAGCACUGGAAUUACAGUUUGCUUACACUGUAAUUCCAGUGGUCUAGAGAUGUAAUUCAAACUGUAAUUACAAAGGAUUUUUCACCCUGGUCCACUACUGUAAUUUCUAUUGCUGUCCACUGAAAUUUUAGUGGUCUAGUAUUGUAACUACAGUUUGUCUGUCACUGUAAAUUCCUUAUCUGCCAGUGUAAUUUAGUUUCACAUGUUAUUUUUCUGUUCCUCUGUAACCAUAGUGUAAAAACACUUGUUAGAUUUUGCUUUUGUGUAGGAUCUACUCAUCUGUAUAUGUUCUUAUUGCUUUUUCUAGUGAUCUAUUGAUUUUGAGUUUAUAACAAGAGUGCUCUGUGGAUUCUGAUCUGCUCUUUCGCUUUGGUAGCAACAUGUUGCUGCUCAAGGUAGAACAAUAUUUUUUGCAUUAGCUAAUGAAAGUUUUUGCAGGAUUUCUUUCCCUGCUGUUUUAUAUUUAAAUUUCACAAUGAUAGUACCUUGUACAUCAUUUGCGCCUGAAGUAGUUGAGUAAAAGAGUAUGCCCUGCUCCGUUAUUUUGUUAAGAAUCAAGUUAGAAAAGCAUGGUUGAAUAUGUUUGUUCAUUUUUUUAGUUUAAAAAAAAGCAAUACAGAAACAAUACAAAAAGAGUAGAGCUUUUGUGUUUCAUGAUCUACUCUUUCAUGAUUUGUUACUGGUUUUUUUACUCUCUAUCUUUUUAAUUUCAGUCGUACUUCCCUAUUGGUCUCGAUGGUCGCUGGUUUUCGUUUGUCGUGUGUAUCGAAGAUAGAGCUUUUGUGUUUCUUGACUCAGCGUUUGGAGAGAACUCAAUGUAUCAUAGAGAUAUCUAUGAUGAGCUGGUGAUUUUUCUUAUUCAUAAUUUCAUUGGGCUUUGGGAUGGGUAUAUCACUCCUAUGAUGCACAAAUGAAUUAGUAUCGAAGAGUUUGAUGUCUUGUAUACAGUUGUUCCUAAGCAAGAGAAUUGGCAUGAUUGUGGUGUCUUCACUCUGAAGUAUAUGGAGAUCUUCACACCAAGAACUUAGAUGGCAAAUCUUUUCUCCAAUGUAGAUAUUCGAAAUCUUAGGAUCAAAUAUGUGAAUGACAUGUUUUUCAGCCCCUUGAACAGCUGCGACAAAUCUUUUGUCACUGCUUUCUUUGGCAAUGUAUAUUCUUAUUUUCCUUGUCCUCUAUUUCAUUUUCUUUUCUCUUUAUUAGCUUUUUUUUUUCUUUGCCUAUUCUGGUCUCUUUGAUUUUUUUGUGUAGGGAGGCAAUGCCAAGUGAGGUUCAGCAUGUGCACAGUCCUAGCUCAAUUGGUGGAUGAGUUCCCCUUUUGAGUAGCAUGUAACAUAGAACCACUAGUGCAAAUCAUUUAGAUUAUUGGUGGAUUUACAAGGUCUUUUUUAGUGGAUUUAAAGUGGCAUCUUUAAUGCAUCUUGCACUAUAAUUCUUAGUGGUUAAUCUUAGCAGUUUUUUCAGUGCAAACCAUUUGGAUUGUUGGUAGAUUUACAGUGUCAUUUUAGUGGAUUUUACAGUGUAAUUUUAAUGCAUCUUACACUGUAAUUCUUAGUGGGCAUGAUAGAAAGUAUUGUCGAUUUUAGUGGAUUUUACAGCAAAUUUCUUGGUGGUAAUAUUAUUGUAAUUAUACUUCUUUGUCAAUGUAAUUUUUAGGUGACAUCAUCUUGGUCCUUUCCUCA